rfam:Picea glauca, whole genome shotgun sequence.
UACCUAGCUGAUCUUGCCAGUAGUCAUAUGCUUGUCUCAAAGAUUAAGCCAUGCAUGUCUAGGUAUUAACUAAUUCAUAUUGUGAAACUAUGGAUGCCUCAUUAAAUCAGUUAUAGUUUCUUUGAUGGUACCCUACUACUCGGAUAACCAUAGUAAUUCUAGAGCUAAUACAUGCACCAAGUCCUGACUCUUUGGAAGGGAUGAAUUUAUUAUAUAAAAGUUCGACGCAGGCUUGCCCGCUUCUCUGGUGAAUCAUGAUAACUCGACGGAUCGCACAACCCUUUUGUUGGUGAUGAUUCAUUCAAAUUUCUACCCUAUCAACUUUUGAUGGUAGGAUAGAGGCCUACCAUGGUGGUGACGGGUGACAGAGAAUUAGGGUUUGAUUCCAUAGAGGGAGCUUGAGAAACGACUACCACAUCCAAGGAAGGCAUCAGGUGUGAAAAUUAGCCAAUCCUGACAUGGGGAGGUAGUGACAAUAAAUAACAAUACUGAGCUCAUUGAGUCUGGUAAUUGGAAUGAGUACAAUCUAAAUCCCUUAACUAGGAUCCAUUGGAGGGCAAGUAUGGUGCCAACAACCAUGGUAAUUCCAUCUCCAAUAGCGUAUAUUUAAGUUGUUGCAGUUAAAAAUCUCGUAGUUGGAUCUUAGGUCGUAAAGGUCGGUCCGCCUACUCGGUGUGCACCUGCUCUUCUGUCCCUUUUGUCGGCGGCAUGCUCUUGGGAUUAAUUGGAUGGGUCGUGGUUCUGAUGUUGUUACUUUGAAAAAAUUAUAGUGCUCAAAGCAAGAUUAUGCUAUGAAUACAUUAGCAUGGAAUAACAUGAUAGGAGUCUGGUCCUAUUGUGUUGGCCUUCGGGACCAGAUUAAUGAUUAGUAGGGACUAUUGGGGGCAUUCAUAUUUCAUUGUCAGAGGUGAAAUUAUUGGAUUUAUGAAAUAUGAACCAAUACAAAAUAAUUUUCCAAGGAUGUUUUCAUUAAUCAAGAAUGAAAGUUGGGGCCUCGAAGACGAUCAGAUACCGUCCUAGUCUCAACCAUUAACGAUGUCGACCAGAGAUCGACGAAUGUUGCUCUAAUGAAUCCACCAACACCUUCUGAGAAAUCAGAGUGUUUGGGUUUUAGGGGGAGUAUGGUUGCAAGGCUAAAACUUAAAGGAAUUGACGGAAGGGCACCAAUAGGAGUGGAGCCUAUGGCUUAAUUUGACUCAACACGGGAAAACUUACCAGGUCUAGACAUAGUAAGGAUUGACAAAUUGAGAAAUAUUUCUUGAUUCUAUGGGUAGUGGUGCAUGGUCUUUCUUAGUUGGUGGAGGGAUUUGUCUGGUUAAUUCCGAUAACGAACGAGAACUCAACUUGCUAACUAGCUACACAGAGGUUCCCCUUCGCGACCAACUUCUUAGAGGGACUAUGGUCGUUUAGGCCAUGGAAGUUUGAGGCAAUAAGAGGUCUGUGAUUCCCUUAAAUGUUCUGGGCUGCACGUGUGCUACACUAAUGCAAUCAACAAGUUUUUCUCCUUGGUUCAAUAGGAUCGAGAAAUCUUCUCAAAUUGCAUCAUGAUGGGGAUAGACCAUUGCAAUUAUUGGUCUUCAACGAGGAAUUCCUAGUAAGUGUGUGUCAUCAACUUAUGUUGACUACAUACUUUCCCUUUGUACACACCGCCCAUUGCUUCUAUCGAUUGAAUGAUCCGGUGAAGUGUUCGAAUCGCAUCAACGACAGUGGUUCGUCACCGACAAUGUCAUGGGAAGUUCAUUGAACCUUAUCAUUUAGAGGAAGGAGAAGUCAUAACAAGGUUACCAUAGGUGAACCUGCAGUAGGAUCAUUG